AUGGUGGUCGCGCUCGGUCCAGGCAGGUUCUACGGCGGCGGCCUCCCGCGCCCGCGCGUCUUCCCGGGCGACCGCGUCGACCCGCCGGCGCCCGUCACCGACGCGCUCCUCUGCUGGGCGCGCGACGCGCACUGGUCCAUGGGCGGGCUCGCCGCCAAGCGCCUCCGCCUGCAGGGCCGCAUCGAGGGCAACCUCGUCAAGCUCCGCCGCACCUCGCGCCGCGACGCCAGGGUCUCUGCCAAGUCCGCCAAGGCCAAGGUCCGUGCCGCCGGGCACGGGCCAGCCCCUGCCACCCUCGACGACGCGCUCGGCUCCGACGACGACGAUUCGGAGGACGAGGCGGAGGUCGCGGCCCAGGAGAAGGCGAUGCGGCGCGAGGUCGUGGAGGAUGAUGAGGACUCCGAGUCCGGCGAGUCGGAGGGCGAGGGGGUGCCGCUCGUCACCAUCGCCGCCGCCGCCAAGAGGAAGCGCGUCAGGAAGCUCUCCGACGAGUUCGACCGCAUCGCCGCCGCGCAGCUGGAGGGCGGCGGGAAGAAGAAGCCUGCGGCCGCGGCUCCGGCCAAGGCGCCGCUGAGGAAGAAGGCUUCUGGUGCUCCGGCCGCUGAGGCGCCGGCGAAGAAGUCGCUGAAGAGGAAGGCGGUGGCGCCGGCGGCUGGGACAGCGGCCAGGAUCUCAGCCAAGAGGAAGGCUGCGGAGGCGCCGGCGGCAAGGAGGACCUCGCCGAGGUCGAAGCACUGA
rnacentral:rRNA from 1 species